CUAUGUAAAUUUCAUUAGCAAACCAAGAUGAACAAGAACAAAUAGAGACAUUAAGCAUACAGAAACAUAAAUAUCCCCCAAGUCUAAGUCCACAUAUGGAAAACAAGAAAAACAAAAUGAUUAAAAUUACAGAACAAAGCACUUAGUUAGAGAAACAUCAUCUUUUAAACAAAACAUAAGAUUAGAAUGUUGAAGUCCAAUGGAGCAGAAGGCUUCGACACCGAAGCAUCUCACUCAGCAGAUGUCACAAAAGCAUACCACCAACGAAGACAAGAUGCUCUUUCUUAAUCCGGCGAAGCUACAACACUAAUCAACACAAACUCGAACAUCUCUGAGAGAGAACAAAUUAAAGACUCACCCUUAGGAAAAUAGAGAUAUCUCAGAACUCGCAAUUUCCAAACCUUCAACCGGCUAACGCAGAGGGACCCUCGCAAACACAGAGAGAAACCCACAAAGAUGACUGCGAGAAGGAUAAAUGGAGAAGGUAUCGACGACAAGAGAAGGAAAACAAAAUAGCUUUUUGAAGAGCGUAUCCAUUCCAAAGUACUAUUUUUCAUAGGCAAGAGAAACGAAAACAACAUAUACCAUCAUUCCAAAGAGCAGCCAAAACUAAUCUGACAACCAUAUCUAAAACCAGCAGAAGCAACGACCACCGACAACUACCGCUGCAACUAGGCACAAACCGACAAUAAAAAGAAGAUGAUCUCUAACCCAUCAUCAAUAAAGGAAAAUGGAGACAACCCGAAUGAACCAAAAACAUAACUAGUCCACUUCGAUGAUGUCGUUGAUGGGCCUCGUUACCCGAAGACGAAACAGUGCAUAGCCGUUUAAAAAAAAGUAAAUCACAAAGGGAGUUCAGCUCUGGUGCGAACGGAGCCACCAUAGUUGAUCAAAACUCAACUUGUUUGUUAGAUCUGGUAUUUUUAGAGGGAAAAGAGAGAGAGUGUAGGUAAAAAAAAAAAACUACAGCACCAUUUCUUAAACAGUUGACUAUUUGUUGUUAUAAAAAGUACAUUUGACUUUCCUUUGGCAGUGAUUGUAUGCCACCAAU
rnacentral:lncRNA from 1 species